rnacentral:rRNA from 1 species
CCUGCGUGCGCUUUACGCCCAGUAAAUCCGGAUAACGCUCGCCACCUACGCCUGCGUGCGCUUUACGCCCAGUAAUUCCGAUUAACGCUCGCACCCUCCGUAUUACCGCGGCUGCUGGCACGGAGUUAGCCGGUGCUUCUUCUGUCGCUAACGUCAAAGAAUACCGCUAUUAACGAUACCCCCUUCCUCACRGACUGAAAGUACUUUACAACCCGAAGCCUUCUUCAUAACACGCGGCAUGGCUGCAUCAGGCUUGCGCCCAUUGUGCAAUAUUCCCCACUGCUGCCUCCCGUAGGAGUCUGGACCGUGUMUCAGUUCCAGUGUGGCUGAUCAUCUUCUCAGACCAGCUAGGGAUCGUCGCCUUGGUGAGCCAUUACCUCACCAACUAGCUAAUCCCACCUGGGCAUAUCCUGACGCGAGAGGCCCGAAGGUCCCCCUCUUUGGCCCGUAGGCAUCAUGCGGUAUUAGCCAUCGUUUCCAAUGGUUAUCCCCCACAUCAGGGCAAUUUCCCAGGCAUUACUCACCCGUCCCGCCGCUCACGCCGC